CUUCCCUACAUGGUGUCCUUCUCCAGUGUGUCCCCCUCUGUCCUGCUGUUUAGAGGGGACAUUCACUCGUGGAGUGCUCCCCCUCCUGUAUCUCAGUUUACUAAACUCUGUCUUAUACUUCUGGUCCACUUUGAAUAACUCUGUCUAAUGCAGAGACCUAGGGUUCAGACAAAAAGGCAAUGGGGCAUCUCUAAGCCUCAGACCACUGGGCGUCACUGCACUGUUUCUUUCCCAGGUGUCGUAGGACUCUCUACGUCAGCCAACAUCAUCCUGGGCUCUGUGGGGGCAGCUAUUGGGGCAUCCGUUGAGGAAGCAAUUGACAGUUGGACCGAUCAGGAAAACCAGGAGGAGACAGUAGACACAAAGAUGAUCGUCCAAAUCACUCAAUGAGGUUCUGCUAAGGGAGGUUCCUGACCUGGAGCUGAGGUGAGAGGGCCAAGAACACGGACCCCAGAGCUCUUGGUCCAUCUUCAUCUAUGAUUCUGGAUGUGCAGAGCUAAGACCAGCAAAAAGAUACCCCACUGUACCAGGGAUGCCCUGACCUAAGCUACUGCCCUGACGCCUCUGGAAGGAGAUAGAAUAAAAAUGGUCACCACUGUG